rnacentral:rRNA from 1 species
GAUGAACGCUGGCGGCGUGCCUAAUACAUGCAAGUCGAGCGAACAGACGAGGAGCUUGCUCCUCUGACGUUAGCGGCGGACGGGUGAGUAACACGUGGAUAACCUACCUAUAAGACUGGGAUAACUUCGGGAAACCGGAGCUAAUACCGGAUAAUAUAUUGAACCGCAUGGUUCAAUAGUGAAAGACGGUUUUGCUGUCACUUAUAGAUGGAUCCGCGCCGCAUUAGCUAGUUGGUAAGGUAACGGCUUACCAAGGCGACGAUGCCUAGCCGACCUGAGAGGGGGACUCGCCAAAAUGGAAACGAGACACGGUCCAGACUCCGACGGGAGGCCGCAGGAGGGAAUACUUCGCAAUGGGCGAAAGCCUGACGGAGCAACGGCGCGUUGGUUAAGAAGGUCUUCGGAUGGUAAAACUUUGUUACUAGGGAAGGACAAUUGUUUAAGUAACUAUGCACGUCUUUACGGUACCUUAUCAAAAAGCCACCGGUAACUACGGU